ACACACACACACACACACACACACACACACACACACACACACACACACACACACACACACACCCUCACCUCGUCACAAACCCAAAUCAGUCUCUAGCCCUUGUUAUAGAUAACACUGUUGAAGAUAAUAAAGCCUUUACAAAUCUUUCAUCUAAUAACACAUUAAUUGCCAAUACUAUAAUGAUAAUGGAAUACCUACUUUUUACAAACCAAUUAAUCCUCAAGGAAAAAAUUUUCAUUUCUUUUGUUGUUAAUUAUUUAGUUUCAUUUUGAAGUAUACUACUAUUCAAAUGUUUUGUGUGAGUCUAAUGUGCUCACUUAGCCUGCAUUUAUUUGACCAAAAUACAGUAAAAAUUGUGAAAUAUUAUUUCUAUUUCACUGUUUAUGUAUUUUAAAAUGUAAUUUAUUCCUGUAAUUAAAGCUGAAUUUUCAGCAUCAUUACUCCAGUCUACAGUGUCACAUGAUCCUUCAGAAAUCAUUCUUAUAUGCUGAUAUGGUGCUUCUUAUUAUCAAUAUUAAAAAAACAGGUGUGCUUCAGUGCUUAGUGCUGCAUGGUUUAUAGAUACUAAGACACAUUUUUUGAACUUUCUAUAAUCAGAUUAAUAGAAAGUUCAAAAGACAAUAAUUUAUCAAAAUAGAAAUCAUUGAAACAUUAUAAGUUGCUUAACUGUAAUUUUGAAUCAAAUUUAUUGUAUUUGACCAAAAAAAUCAAAAUAAACACAUGUUAGGUAUACAUAACAUUAACAAAAGUAAAAUGGCUUGCUCUGGGUGGUUUAAAAGCCUUGUAGAUGUCUUGGUCUCAGGUGAGGUGACUCCAGGUCUCACCCAGACAGAGUUUGAGAUUCGUCGGCAGUGCUUGGCGUCUCUGAUCAACAUGCAACGGUUCUGGAGUCUCUUCAGACUCCUCCCAAACUGUCAUCGCAUCCCAUUCGCUACAUGACCAGUGACAUCCUUUACCCAUUCCACCAGAACCAGGACUUCCUGUACCUGACAGCACAGAGGAGCUGGGUGAAAUGCUAAAAAGCUUGAAAGGCUGCUCAGCAGCUCUGCCCCCAUCAUUACUACCUGGGCAUGGAUGUUCAUGACACCCCUGAGCUGUCCCGUUCACAACCACUGCAACCUGGCAUGGUGAUCACAACCAGGAGAGCCAGUUGAAGACCACUUUUAUUCAAAAACAGUUAAUGUUGCAUGAUUAUACAUCAGCGAGGACGACAGUUCAUGUCCAGAGCGAAUCCAGGGUCAUGGGGUUCGGAUUGAGGAUGAUGUGCUGAUCCGAGAACACAGGGGACCCCUCAUCCUGUCUGCAAACACCCCCAAAACCAUCGCAGGUGGAAAGAGUGGAGGAGCUUGCGCACAUGGAGAGGACUGAAGGGGAAGAGCAGAACAUAGCAAGCCCUGCUAGAAUGAGUCCUUUUAACACCUCCGCUGGCAGUGUUUUCUAUAAUGGUGAACUCAGGACGUCUGGAUCUCACAGAACUUGCUCCACUUAAGUUUUAAAUCUGAAGGAUUUAGAGCUAGACAUGUCUGGACAGCGUGCAAUGUGUCCCUGAUAGCCAGUUCACUCCUACGCUAGCUAAAUGGUUGUGUUGGGUCGUGUUUUGUAUUUGACCUGUACAACUACAAUCUCAGAAAAAAGGUACAAAGGCUGUCACAUGGGCGUGCUACCCUUUCAAAAGGUACAUAUUUGUUCCUUAUUUAUCCACAAAUGGUGCAUAUAAGUACCUUAAAGGUAAAAACAACCUUAAAGGUACCACCCCAGUGACAGCUUUUGUACCUUUUCGUCUGAAGGCUUAUGGGAGACUUUAAACGAGUUCAGAUGGAGAAACAAACAGGUUCUAAUGAUUAAGCAUGUUGAACAGGUUGUUUGUGAGACAAUUUAUCUGUUGCACUGUGAGAGGUUCGAUUUGUGUUUGAGUAUGUUUGUCGACUGAGCCUUUUAAUGUAAUACAUGUUUUUUGUGUUUUUUUUUUUUACUGUUGUCAAAAUAAACAUCUAAUUCUUGAUUUUGUUGCUGUAGUUUGUAAGCUCAAUGCAUUUUUAACCCAUGUAAUUAGUCUAUGAACAGACUGAAAAAAUGCAAAAAUUAUACUUUUUUUUUUUUUUUAAAUGUGUAUAUAUUGUAAGUACACUUGAAAACUUUUAAUAACUCCAUAAAACACAAAUUAUAUGAUCGCAAAUCAGUUAUACUAACAAACACAAAAUUGCUUGGUUACUAUUAGAAGUAAAAAAAGGGCAUCCAAAAUAAGUAAUUUCAAAGUGAUGACAUUUUUGCUGAAUGCAGUCUAAAACUACUAUUAUAUAGUGUAUUCACAAUACUUCUAGAUACUAAAAUAGUACUCUCAAAACAUCAGCAAGGUUCGAAAAGGGAAAAACUUUUGUUUAUGUUGUGCUGCUUUAUUUUUGUGUAUCUAAUCUAAUGAAAUUGUAUUAAAGCUAAUUCAAAAUAUUAUUAAAUACAAUAACACUAUAGAAAUAAUACUACAGUAUGCACU